ACUUCAAAUGCUGACUACUGUAUACAAUAUACAGAGCUACUACCGCAAAAACAAAAUGGCUGCGCGUUUGUUGAUCUAGCGCAUGAGCCUUCUGAGCACGUGCCAGCGUUGCCAUUGUCAACCACAACUAAACAUAUGCGGCAAGUGGGAACACAACACCUGGACCUCAUUUCUGAUUAUCAAAGGAGGAUGCAAAGGGACUCUGGUAUCCCAGCAUGGUGCUGGACAGGACAGAAAGCGGGAAAACACACCUCACUUCACAUUCUACACUCAAGGUCAUGCUGAUAACGGCCUACAGCAAUGUUUGCACACGUGUGUUUGUGUGUGUGUGUGUGUGUCUCCACCCUGCAGAUGAGCAUUUACUCACUGACAGUCGAAAAUGAGAGUCUUGCUAAAUCACGUAUUAGCCUAAUGGUUUUAAUUCGCUUUUUAAAUGAGUGUCAGGCCUGCUGUAGUGUCAAACACAUGGUGACACUGUGAGACUGACAGGCCUAUUAACACUUCACGUGUCGCUUAACAGCGUUUGCUUUUAAUGCAUAAUGUGUGUGUGUGUGUGUGUGUUUGAGGACGUUUGUUGCUUGCAAAGCUUUUGCUGCAAAGUGUGUGUAAGGCAGAGAGAAAGUCGUUCAUGCGCCGCUCUGCCAUUAACCUGUACCUCUUCCUCAUUAGUGCUGUAUCUCUGUUGCCAUGGUGGUCUAUUAGAGAGCGCAGAUUAAAGCGUCAUUUGCAUGUGAAUGUGGUGUGUGUGUGUGUGUUUGUGUGUGUGAUUAGAGGGUGGGCAUUUUUUAAGGGUAGAACUGGGGCAGGAGAAGCUUACAGUCUCAAUGUUGUGUUAACAGAAAACAAAUGACAGUGACGCCGACUUUUGAUAGCACAAACCCUAUAAUUAUGAUAAAUGUACAGUGACUCCAAAGAGGUCUGAAUGUCAGUGCAUUAGAUUAAAAACAAGUGGUAUCAAAUGCUGCAGAAUCUUUCCUCAUAUUUGAGGUUUCUUCAUUUUUCAUCAUUUUUGCUCUGUCUUGUAAUCAGUAUAAUUGUUCUGGUUAUUUUUAGUAGAUGUACUGUAUGAAGUCAGUUCACCUCAAGCAGUGUUAUUUUAGUAUCCUUAAGAUUUUAAUUUUAACUUUUUUUCUGUGUUUUUGUCAUUUUUGUAAGUAUGGUUUAAAAGUGUUUAUUAUUCUUAAUAAAAAAAAGUCUUUUAUGAA